rnacentral:rRNA from 1 species
UACCUGCAGUCGAGGGGUAGAGGCUUUCGGGCCUUGAGACCGGCGCACGGGUGCGUAACGCGUAUGCAAUCUGCCUUGUACAAAGGGAUAGCCCAGAGAAAUUUGGAUUAAUACCUUAUAGUAUAUUGAUGUGGCAUCACAUUAUUAUUAAAGAUUUAUCGGUACAAGAUGAGCAUGCGUCCCAUUAGCUAGUUGGUGUGGUAACGGCAUACCAAGGCUAUGAUGGGUAGGGGUCCUGAGAGGGAGAUCCCCCACACUGGUACUGAGACACGGACCAGACUCCUACGGGAGGCAGCAGUGAGGAAUAUUGGACAAUGGGCGCAAGCCUGAUCCAGCCAUGCCGCGUGCAGGAUGAAGCAUCUAUGGUGUGUAAACUGCUUUUAUACGGGAAGAAACCCUGGCUCGUGAGCCAGAUUGACGGUACCGUAGGAAUAAGGAUCGGCUAACUCCGUGCCAGCAGCCGCGGUAAUACGGAGGAUCCAAGCGUUAUCCGGAAUCAUUGGGUUUAAAGGGUCCGUAGGCGGUUUUAUAAGUCAGUGGUGAAAUCCGGUAGCUCAACUAUCGAACGGCCAUUGAUACUGUAGAACUUGAAUUAUUGUGAAGUAACUAGAAUAUGUAGUGUAGCGGUGAAAUGCUUAGAUAUUACAUGGAAUACCAAUUGCGAAGGCAGGUUACUAACAAUCGAUUGACGCUGAUGGACGAAAGCGUGGGGAGCGAACAGGAUUAGAUACCCUGGUAGUCCACGCCGUANACGAUGGAUACUAGCUGUUCGGCAGCAAUGCUGAGUGGCUAAGCGAAAGUGAUAAGUAUCCCACCUGGGGAGUACGAACGCAAGUUUGAAACUCAAAGGAAUUGACGGGGGCCCGCACAAGCGGUGGAGCAUGUGGUUUAA